rnacentral:rRNA from 1 species
GUGUCAGCCGCCGCGGUAAAACCAGCACCUCAGUGGUCAGGAUGAUUAUUGGGCCUAAAGCAUCCGUAGCCUGUUUUGUAAGUCUUCGGUUAAAUCCAUCAACUCAAGUGAUGGGCCGCCGGAGAUACUGCAAAACUAGGGAAUGGGAGAGGUAGACGGUACUCGGUAGGAAGGGGUAAAAUCCUUUGAUCUAUUGAUGACCACCUGUGGCGAAGGCGGUCUACCAGAACAUGUUCGACGGUGAGGGAUGAAAGCUGGGGGAGCAAACCGGAUUAGAUACCCGGGUAGUCC